rnacentral:rRNA from 1 species
UACGUAGGGUGCAAGCGUUGUCCGGAAUUAUUGGGCGUAAAGAGCUCGUAGGCGGCUUGUCGCGUCGACUGUGAAAACCCGAGGCUCAACUUCGGGCUUGCAGUCGAUACGGGCAGGCUAGAGUUCGGUAGGGGAGACUGGAAUUCCUGGUGUAGCGGUGAAAUGCGCAGAUAUCAGGAGGAACACCGAUGGCGAAGGCAGGUCUCUGGGCCGAUACUGACGCUGAGGAGCGAAAGCGUGGGGAGCGAACAGG